AUACUUACCUGGAAGGGGAGAUGCCAUGAUCACACAGGUGGUCUUUCCAGGGUCAGGCUUAUCCAUUACAUUCCUGAUCCCUGUGAGAUCCCCAAAUGUAGGAAACCUGAGUGUAUAAUUUGUUAUAGUGGGGGACUGUGUUCAUACUUUCCCCUG